UACAGAGGGGGGCAAGCGUUAUUCGGAAUUACUGGGCGUAAAGCGCACGUAGGCGGAUUUGUAAGUCAGGGGUGAAAUCCCGGGGCUCAACCUCGGAACUGCCUUUGAUACUGCAAAUCUCGAGUCCGGAAGAGGUGAGUGGAAUUCCUAGUGUAGAGGUGAAAUUCGUAGAUAUUAGGAAGAACACCAGUGGCGAAGGCGGCUCACUGGUCCGGUACUGACGCUGAGGUGCGAAAGCGUGGGGAGCAAACAGG
rnacentral:rRNA from 1 species